rnacentral:rRNA from 1 species
AUUGGACGCUGGCGGCAUGCCUUACACAUGCAAGUCGAACGGCAGCACGGGGCAACCUGGUGGCGAGUGGCGAACGGGUGAGUAAUGCAUCGGAACGUACCUUUCAGUGGGGGAUAACGUAGCGAAAGUUACGCUAAUACCGCAUAUUCUGUGAGCAGGAAAGCAGGGGAUCGCAAGACCUUGCGCGGAUUGAGCGGCCGAUGUCAGAUUAGCUAGUUGGUGAGGUAAAGGCUCACCAAGGCGACGAUCUGUAGCGGGUCUGAGAGGAUGAUCCGCCACACUGGAACUGAGACACGGUCCAGACUCCUACGGGAGGCAGCAGUGGGGAAUUUUGGACAAUGGGGGCAACCCUGAUCCAGCCAUGCCGCGUGAGUGAAGAAGGCCUUCGGGUUGUAAAGCUCUUUCGGCCGGGAAGAAAUCGCACGGGCUAAUACCCUGUGUGGAUGACGGUACCGGAAUAAGAAGCACCGGCUAACUACGUGCCAGCCGCCGCGGUAACAC